rnacentral:lncRNA from 1 species
GUUUGAAAAAUCCAUUUAUGUAUGUUAACACUAAUUAAGCACUCCUCUAAAAUCACACAAUCAUUUCAUAAUAGAUGCAAGGUUAAGAACAUAGAGCAUAAUAAGGAAAAACUUUGUAAAUCAAGAACCAUACCUCUGAAAUAAAUUAUGCAAACUAUCUCUCGAUAUUGUUUACAGAUGAUUAAAAAUCUCAUCAUCUAAUAUGCAUUUCAUACUAAGAAGUUCCUGAAUAUUUUCAUACAAGUUUUUCUUAAUUAAAAAUUCCUCUAAAAUCACACUAUCAUUGCAUAAUAGAUACAAUACCUUUGGUGUUUUUGUGGCAUGAUCAGUUUGCAAUAACAACUUAUAUCUGGAUUUGAGUCUACAAAAAAUGAAUCUAAGCUCUGAAAUUCACUAUUGCCAACAUGAGUUCCAAAUUUAUAUAUGCACAAGUAAAAAAGGAAUAAAAAGUUGCUUACAAAAAAAAAUAAGAAGGGGUUUAGUUGCUUAAUUAGUGUGUUUCUAAUUGGAAGAUCCCUAAUCUCCUCCCAAACAAACAAAAUAAACCCCCAAUAGCUACAUCAUGAAAAAACCACUUUUAACUUUCAUUGUUAACACAUGGAAUUAAGGAUCAUGAUGUAAGAGAUAGAAGAAGAGAAACUACCUCUUAUAACACAGAUGAUUAAAACUUUCAAGCUAAUCCAUCCUUUAUCUGCAAAAAACACAAUCUCAGCAAAUAUUAG